rnacentral:ncRNA from 1 species
CGUCUUCAGGGCAGGGUGUAAUUCCCGACCGGUGGUAAAGUCCACGACCUCAUAUUUUUCGAAAUAUGGGCUGAGCUGGUGUAAUUCCAGUACCGACAGUAAAGUCUGGAUGGAAGAAGAU